rnacentral:rRNA from 1 species
UGGGAUAUUGCACAAUGGGGAAACCCGUGAUGCAGCGACGCCGCGUGGAGGAAGAAGGUUUUCGGAUUGUAAACUCCUGUCGUUAGGGACGAUAAUGACGGUACCUAACAAGAAGCACCGGCUAACUACGUGCCAGCAGCCGCGGUAAACGUAGGGUGCAAGCGUUGUCCGGAAUUACUGGGUGUAAAGGGAGCGCAGGCGGACCGGCAAGUUGGAAGUGAAACCAUGGGCUCAACCCAUGAAUUGCUUUCAAAACUGCUGGCCUUGAGUAGUGCAGAGGUAGGUGGAAUUCCCGGUGUAGCGGUGGAAUGCGUAGAUAUCGGGAGGAACAC